AUAAAUAUUGAAAAAUAUUGACAUUAAUAUUUAUACGAUACUAACGUCACUCAAUUGUUUGCCUUCCCGAAACGCCUCCAAUAACACUUAAACUUUAUGGUAUUCUAUUAAAGUUGUAAUUGACUUGCAAUUGUUUUUAAUUUUGAUUUUAAUUAAAAUAUAGUUUCGGACGACGAUUUUGUUCUUUGCGAACUUUCCAAAACACGGACAUUGGUGAACUUGUCAAUGCAAUGGACUCUAAGUGCUAGUGUUUUGCUACCAUCCCUACAUUCUCGAGUUUUUACGCCGACAAUUUACGAACGGCAGCGUACCCGCCAGAGGUAUGGCUGUAUACAUAAAAAACAGGCGCAGAACUCUGUUCCAUUCCUCAAGUCCAAGUACCAGGUUCCCUACUAGCGCCGCUAAUGAGAUCUUUGAUCCAAGCUGCUCCAAGCACUUCAUCAUCGACAAUGAAUUGUCCAGUAAAUUGCUUAAGCUGUGUCGACAGAAUGGCAUAGGCGGCAUCAGCCAUGAACACGGGCUUGCGAGACCACUGGGCCGAUUCAGAACCAGUAAGCAUUUCAAUUGCAGCAGUCAGAAUAAUUUAAGAGCGUUGUAGCCUCAGGUAUACGGGUUUCAGAAUUGCAAAGUUUAAUACCAGGCGAAAGAUACUUAAAUUAUGGGAAAAAAAACAGCCUCUGAUAGAACCUCAAAAGCUGAAAAAAGGAAACAGAAAAAAAAUAUUAUUAUUAAAAGUGUAUACAGCCCCAAAUCGAUCAGAUCUUAUAGAUAUCCUAUCACCGUGUACCGUGUACUCGAAAAAAUAUAGAUUUGAAAGAUU
rnacentral:sRNA from 1 species